rnacentral:tRNA from 2 species
GGAGAGGUGGCAGAGUGGUCGAAUGCGCCGGUCUUGAAAACCGGAGACGGGCAACCGUCCGUGGGUUCGAAUCCCACCCUCUCCGCCA